rnacentral:rRNA from 1 species
GACAGAGGGGGGCAAGCGUUGCUCGGAAUCACUGGGCGUAAAGGGCGCGUAGGCGGGAUGGCAAGUCGGUCGUGAAAUCUCUCGGCUCAACCGAGAAACGUCGGCCGAUACUGCCGUUCUUGAGGGAUGCAGAGGAGACUGGAAUUCCCGGUGUAGCGGUGAAAUGUGUAGAGAUCGGGAGGAACACCGGUGGCGAAGGCGGGUCUCUGGGCAUUUCCUGACGCUGAGGCGCGAAAGCGUGGGGAGCAAACGGG